UACGGAGGAUCCGAGCGUUAUCCGGAUUUAUUGAGUUUAAAGGGUGCGUAGGCGGUUUGAUAAGUUAGAGGUGAAAUGUCGGGGCUCAACCCCGAAACUGCCUCUAAUACUGUUGGACUAGAGAAUAGUUGCGGUAGGCGGAAUGUAUGGUGUAGCGGUGAAAUGCUUAGAGAUCAUACAGAACACCGAUUGCGAAGGCAGCUUACCAAACUAUAUCUGACGUUGAGGCACGAAAGCGUGGGUAGCAAACAGG
rnacentral:rRNA from 1 species